rnacentral:rRNA from 1 species
ACUACGGGAGGCAGCAGUGGGGAAUAUUGCACAAUGGGGGAAACCCUGAUGCAGCGACGCCGCGUGAGUGAAGAAGUAUUUCGGUAUGUAAAGCUCUAUCAGCAGGGAAGAAGAAAGACGGUACCUGACUAAGAAGCCCCGGCUAACUACGUGCCAGCAGCCGCGGUAAUACGUAGGGGGCAAGCGUUAUCCGGAUUCACUGGGUGUAAAGGGAGCGUAGACGGCCAUGCAAGCCAGGGGUGAAAGCCCGGGGCCCAACCCCGGGACUGCCCUUGGAACUGCAUGGCUGGAGUGCGGGAGGGGCAGGCGGAAUUCCUGGUGUAGCGGUGAAAUGCGUAGAUAGCAGGAGGAACACCGGCGGCGAAGGCGGCCUGCUGGACCGCGACUGACGUUGAGGCUCGAAAGCGUGGGGAGCGAACAGGAUUAGAUACCCUUGUAGUC